rfam:Salmo salar isolate Sally breed double haploid chromosome ssa12, whole genome shotgun sequence.
UUACCUCAUAUUUGUAAGUCGCUCUGGAUAAUAUGCGUCUGCUAAAUGACUUUAA